CAAGCUUGAAUUCGUAGUCAUAUGCUUGUCUCAAAGAUUAAGCCAUGCAUGUCUAAGUAUAAGCAAUCUAUACAGUGAAACUGCGAAUGGCUCAUUAAAUCAGUUAUCGUUUAUUUGAUAGUACCUUACUACUUGGAUAACCGUGGUAAUUCUAGAGCUAAUACAUGCUAAAAACCUCGACUUCGGGAGGGGUGUAUUUAUUAGAUAAAAAACCAAUGCCCUCCGGGGCUCCUUGGUGAUUCAUAAUAACUUAACGAAUCGCAUGGCCUUGUGCCGGCGAUGGUUCAUUCAAAUUUCUGCCCUAUCAACUUUCGAUGGUAGGAUAGUGGCCUACCAUGGUUUCGACGGGUAACGGGGAAUUAGGGUUCUAUUCCGGAGAGGGAGCCUGAGAAACGGCUACCACAUCCAAGGAAGGCAGCAGGCGCGCAAAUUACCCAAUCCCGACACGGGGAGGUAGUGACAAUAAAUACUGAUACAGGGCUCUUUUGGGUCUUGUAAUUGGAAUGAGUACAAUUUAAAUCCCUUAACGAGGAACAAUUGGAGGGCAAGUCUGGUGCCAGCAGCCGCGGUAAUUCCAGCUCCAAUAGCGUAUAUUAAAGUUGUUGCAGUUAAAAAGCUCGUAGUUGAACCUUGGGCCUGGCUGGCUGGUCCGCCUCACCGCGUGCACUGGUCCGGCCGGGUCUUUCCUUCUGGGGAGCCGUAUGCCCUUCACUGGGUGUGCUGGGGAACCAGGACUUUUACUUUGAAAAAAUUAGAGUGUUCAAAGCAGGCAUAUGCUCGGAUACAUUAGCAUGGAAUAAUAGAAUAGGACGUGUGGUUCUAUUUUGUUGGUUUCUAGGACCGCCGUAAUGAUUAAUAGGGAUAGUCGGGGGCAUCAGUAUUCAAUUGUCAGAGGUGAAAUUCUUGGAUUUAUUGAAGACUAACUACUGCGAAAGCAUUUGCCAAGGAUGUUUUCAUUAAUCAGUGAACGAAAGUUAGGGGAUCGAAGACGAUCAGAUACCGUCGUAGUCUUAACCAUAAACUAUGCCGACUAGGGAUCGGGCGAUGUUAUCUUUUUGACUCGCUCGGCACCUUACGAGAAAUCAAAGUUUUUGGGUUCUGGGGGGAGUAUG
rnacentral:rRNA from 1 species